rnacentral:rRNA from 1 species
UGGGGAAUAUUGCACAAUGGGCGCAAGCCUGAUGCAGCAACGCCGCGUGAGUGAUGAAGGUCUUCGGGUUGUAAAGCUCUGUCUUUUGGGACGAUAAUGACGGUACCAAAGGAGGAAGCCACGGCUAACUACGUGCCAGCAGCCGCGGUAAUACGUAGGUGGCAAGCGUUGUCCGGAUUUACUGGGCGUAAAGGAUGCGUAGGCGGAUUUUUAAGUGAGAUGUGAAAACCCUAAGCUUAACUUGGGGACUGCAUUUCAUACUGGAAAUCUAGAGUGCGGGAGAGGAGAAUGGAAUUCCUAGUGUAGCGGUGAAAUGCGUAGAGAUUAGGAAGAACACCAGUGGCGAAGGCGAUUCUCUGGACCGUAACUGACGCUGAGGCAUGAAAGCGUGGGUAGCAAACAGGAUUAGAUACCCUGGUAGUCCACGCCGUAAACGAUGAGUACUAGGUGUAGGAGGUAUCGACCCCUUCUGUGCCGCAGUUAACACAAUAAGUACUCCGCCUGGGAAGUACGAUCGCAAGAUU